GGGGAAUUUUGGACAAUGGGGGCAACCCUGAUCCAGCCAUGCCGCGUGAGUGAAGAAGGCCUUCGGGUUGUAAAGCUCUUUCGCGAGGGAAGAAAUUGCACCGGAUAAUACCUGGUGUAGAUGACGGUACCUUGAUAAGAAGCACCGGCUAACUACGUGCCAGCAGCCGCGGUAAUACGUAGGGUGCGAGCGUUAAUCGGAAUUACUGGGCGUAAGGCGUGCGCAGGCGGUUUCGUAAGACAGGCGUGAAAUCCCCGGGCUUAACCUGGGAACUGCGCUUGUGACUGCGAGGCUAGAGUACGGCAGAGGGAGGUAGAAUUCCACGUGUAGCAGUGAAAUGCGUAGAGAUGUGGAGGAAUACCGAUGGCGAAGGCAGCCUCCUGGGCCAGUACUGACGCUCAUGCACGAAAGCGUGGGGAGCAAAC
rnacentral:rRNA from 1 species